CCUACGGGUGGCUGCAGUCGAGAAUCAUUCACAAUGGGGGAAACCCUGAUGGUGCGACGCCGCGUGGGGGAUGAAGGUCUUCGGAUUGUAAACCCCUGUCAUGUGGGAGCAAAUUAAAAAGAUAGUACCACAAGAGGAGGAGACGCCUAACUCGGUGCCAGCAGCCGCGGGAAUACAGAGGUCUCAAGCGUUGUUCGGAAUCACUGGGCUUAAGGCGUGCGUAGGCUGUUUCGUAAGUCGAGUGUGAAAGGCGCGGGCUCAACCCGCGGCCGGCACAUGAUACUGCGAGACUAGAGUAAUGGAGGGGGAAGCGGAAUGCUCGGUGUAGCAGUGAAAUGCGUAGAUAUCGAGAGGAACACUCGUGGCGAAGGCGGGUUCCUGGAUAUUAACUGACGCUGAGGCACGAAGGCCAGGGGAGCGAAAGGGAUUAGAUACCCUGGUAGUC
rnacentral:rRNA from 1 species